rnacentral:lncRNA from 1 species
AAUGAUAUGUCAUGUCAUAAUACAUGCAAUGAUGACAAAGCCAGGUGAAAAGGCGAUGAUGGUCAUUAAGUUCAAGAUGGGGAGGGGUUGGGGUGAGGGCUGGCCUGUCUGAGGAGGGGCAUUUGCAGUGCUGGAGCAAGCCAUGGAGGACAGGAAUUGCUCCAGUCAGAGGAACAGCAAGGACAAGGGGCCCAAGACGGCAUGUACUAGAGGCUCCACGCAUAGAAAAAGCCAGCCAUCCCCAGCGCUGUAACUGAGUGGCCAGUGGUGGGAGUCUUUGUAAUAGUUAAUUUUAUGCAUCAACUUGACUGGAUCACAGUGUGCCCAGAUAUUUGAUCAAACAUUAUUCUGAGUGUUUCCGUGACAAUGUUUUUGGAUACAAUCAACAUUUAUUUAAUUGGUUGAAGACCUGAAUAGAACAAAGAGUUCAAUUCUCUCAAGUAAGAGAAUUCCUCCUGUCUGACUACUUCAGAAUUGGGACAUUGGCUUUUUCCUGCCUCUACACUACAACUACACCAUCAAGCCUUCAGACAUGGAAAGGAACCACACUAUUGGCUCUCCUCGGUCUUCAGCUUGCCAACUCAAUGCAGAUCUUUGCAUUUGUCAGCCUUAUAACCAUGUGAGCUAAUUCCCUAAAAUAAAUGUCC